rnacentral:rRNA from 1 species
AUUGACGUUACUCGCAGAAGAAGCACCGGCUAACUCCGUGCCAGCAGCCGCGGUAAUACGGAGGGUGCAAGCGUUAAUCGGAAUUACUGGGCGUAAAGCGCACGCAGGCGGUUUGUUAAGUCAGAUGUGAAAUCCCCGAGCUUAACUUGGGAACUGCAUUUGAAACUGGCAAGCUAGAGUCUUGUAGAGGGGGGUAGAAUUCCAGGUGUAGCGGUGAAAUGCGUAGAGAUCUGGAGGAAUACCGGUGGCGAAGGCGGCCCCCUGGACAAAGACUGACGCUCAGGUGCGAAAGCGUGGGGAGCAAACAGGAUUAGAUACCCCGGUAGUCA